rnacentral:piRNA from 1 species
UAAGUAGUUUAGUGUCUGAAUGGA